rnacentral:rRNA from 1 species
UGAGUAACCUGCCCUUAACUCUGGGAUAAGCCUGGGGAAACUGGGUCUAAUACCGGAUAUGACUCCUCAUCGCAUGGUGGGGGGUGGAAAGCUUUAUUGUGGUUUUGGGAUGGACUCGCGGCCUAUCAGCUUGUUGGUGAGGGUAACGGCUCACCAAGGCUUCGACGGGUAGCCGGCCUGAGAGGGCGACCGGCCACACUGGGACUGAGAUACGGCCCAGACUCCUACGGGAGGCAG